CAGUAGCCGCGGUAAUACGAAGGGGGCUAGCGUUGUUCGGAAUCACUGGGCGUAAAGGGUGCGUAGGCGGGCGACUCAGUCAGGGGUGAAAUCCCGAGGCUCAACCUCGGAACUGCCUUUGAUACUGGUUGUCUUGAGUCCGGAAGAGGUGAGUGGAACUGCGAGUGUAGAGGUGAAAUUCGUAGAUAUUCGCAAGAACACCGGUGGCGAAGGCGGCUCACUGGUCCGGAACUGACGCUGAGGCACGACAGCGUGGGGAGCAAACAGGAUUAGAUACCCCCGUAGUCCCUGUCUCUUAUAC
rnacentral:rRNA from 1 species